GGGGGCGGGGCGGUGGGCGGGGCCCCACGGUCACCUACUUGGCCUCCAGAGCCAGAGCGAUCAUGCCAGCGGCCAGCGGGGCGGAGGCCGAGGUGCCCGUGUGUUUGUCGGUACACUGGUGGUGCAGGUCCGUGGUGACCUGGUGACAGACAACAGAGGGAUCUUGAGCCCAGUGCGCGGCCCAGAUGGAGGAUUUGUUUGGAAGGUACUGGGGACUAAGUUCACAAAGUGCUGAAGAUUGAGCUAAGUAUGAAGACACCGAGGACUAAGCUCAAAAGGUACUAAAAGCCCCAGCCAGGCCUGGUGAUGCAGGUGCUCAAACCCAGCACUUGUGGAGCUGUGGCAGGCGUAGCUGGGACUUCCAGGCUAGCCUGGUUUAUGUAUGGUGAAUACGAAUGACUAAGUUUAACAAGUACUGAGGACUGAGCUCAACAAUUACUAAGGGCCGAGGUUUAAAACUGCUAAGGACUAGUUUCCAAAACCACCGAGCAUUGAGUUCAUAAUGAUACACGGCCCUACAUCUCCAAAAAAUACCAAAACCAGACCGGCUGUGGUGGCUCACUCCUUUAAUCCUAGCCCUUGGGAGGCAAAAGCAGGCAGAUCUCUGAGUUCAGGACCAGCCUGGUCUACAGAGCGAGUUCCAAGACCGCCAGGGCUAUACACAGAGAAACACCAGUGUUUGACUCGAAAACACCAAGAAAAGAAAAAGUGCCGAAUUCUGAGACUUAGUCUCAGCAAGUGCCCGAACCCUGGUACUUGGCCCUGGUUCUUCAAUCUGGGGGACAGAAAUGCUGAGGCAGGAACCACAAUUGCAGACACCAGCCCAUGUGGACGCCAGAGAACUAUGGGGGCUGGAAGAUGGCUCAGCAAUGAAGAGCACUGGCCACUCUUGCGGAGGACCGGGGUUCAAUCUCCAAUGUCUACAUGGAGGACCGGGGUUCAAUCUCCAAUGUCUACAUGGUGGCUCACAAGCACCCGGGACAGGUUCCAAGUAGAUCUUGUGCCCUCUUCUGACCUCCUCAGCACCUGCAUCUGUCCGUGGUACACAGACAAGCAGGAGAAACACUAAUACACAUUAGUCAAAAGAAAUACACAUUUAAAACAUGUAAAUCUUAUAAAACCAUGGGAGCCAG